rnacentral:lncRNA from 1 species
GAAGAAAGUUCCAUUUUUAAGAGGAGAGAUGAAUAUUUGCUCUUAGGCACCUGGAAACAGAGAUUGUCAAUUUCUAAGGGCAGAAAACAAAUAUCCCAUGUGGACAGACACAUUCCCAGCUCUCUCCUGUUCACUGAACUUGCUGGAAUGAGAACCUGCACAGCACUGGGCCAGCUUCAUUUUAUUUUAUCUAGAAUGCAAUGACUUUCAAACAACAGUGCCUUUCUGUGGAACUUUUAUGAAACUGGAAUGCUGCAUUGUUCUUUGUUGUGACAGGUAAUAUUUCAAGUAAUAAAUUAUUUUCUCUUUCAGCCUAGGUGCCA